rnacentral:rRNA from 1 species
CUAAUACAUGCAAGUCGAGCGAACAGACGAGGAGCUUGCUCCUCUGACGUUAGCGGCGGACGGGUGAGUAACACGUGGAUAACCUACCUAUAAGACUGGGAUAACUUCGGGAAACCGGAGCUAAUACCGGAUAAUAUAUUGAACCGCAGGUUCAAUAGUGAAAGACGGUUUUGCUGUCACUUAUAGAUGGAUCCGCGCCGCAUUAGCUAGUUGGUAAGGUAACGGCUUACCAAGGCAACGAUGCGUAGCCGACCUGAGAGGGUGAUCGGCCACACUGGAACUGAGACACGGUCCAGACUCCUACGGGAGGCAGCAGUAGGGAAUCUUCCGCAAUGGGCGAAAGCCUGACGGAGCAACGCCGCGUGAGUGAUGAAGGUCUUCGGAUCGUAAAACUCUGUUAUUAGGGAAGAACAAAUGUGUAAGUAACUAUGCACGUCUUGACGGUACCUAAUCAGAAAGCCACGGCUAACUACGUGCCAGCAGCCGCGGUAAUACGUAGGUGGCAAGCGUUAUCCGGAAUUAUUGGGCGUAAAGCGCGCGUAGGCGGUUUUUUAAGUCUGAUGUGAAAGCCCACGGCUCAACCGUGGAGGGUCAUUGGAAACUGGAAAACUUGAGUGCAGAAGAGGAAAGUGGAAUUCCAUGUGUAGCGGUGAAAUGCGCAGAGAUAUGGAGGAACACCAGUGGCGAAAGCGACUUUCUGGUCUGUAACUGACGCUGAUGUGCGAAAGCGUGGGGAUCAAACAGGAUUAGAUACCCUGGUAGUCCACGCCGUAACGAUGAGUGCUAAGUGUUAAGGGGGUUUCCGCCCCUUAGUGCUGCAGCUAACGCAUUAAGCACCUCCGCCUGGGGAGUACGACCGCAAGGUUGAAACUCAAAGGAAUUGACGGGAACCCGCACAAGCGUGAGCAUGUGGUUUAAUUCGAAGCAACGCGAAGAACUUACAAUCUGACAUCUCUGACCCCUCUGAGAUAGAGUUU